rnacentral:rRNA from 1 species
AACGAACGCUGGCGGCAUGCCUAACACAUGCAAGUCGAACGAGACCUUCGGGUCUAGUGGCGCACGGGUGCGUAACGCGUGGGAACCUGCCCUUAGGUUCGGAAUAACUCCCCGAAAGGGGUGCUAAUACCGGAUAAUGUCUUCGGACCAAAGAUUUAUCGCCUUUGGAUGGGCCCGCGUUGGAUUAGCUAGUUGGUAGGGUAAAAGCCUACCAAGGCGACGAUCCAUAGCUGGUCUGUGAGGAUGAUCAGCCACACUGGGACUGAGACACGGCCCAGACUCCUACGGGAGGCAGCAGUGGGUAAUAUUGGACAAUGGGCGAAAUCCUGAUCCAGCAAUGCCGCGUGAGUGAUGAAGGCCUUAGGGUUGUAAAGCUCUUUUACCCGGGAUGAUAAUGACAGUACCGGGAGAAUAAGCUCCGGCUAACUCCGUG